AAUUUUUGACAAUGUUGGAAACCCUGAUACAGCCAUCCCGCGUGCAUGAUGAAGGCCUUCGAGUCGUAAAGUACUUUUGGCAGAGAAGAAAAGGUAUCUCCUAAUACGAGAUAAUGCUGACGGUAUCUGCAGAUUAAGAACAGGCUAACUACGGGCCAGCAGCCGCGGUAAUACGUAGGGUGCAAGCGUUAAUCGGAAUUCAUGGGCGUAAAGCGUGUGUAGGCGGUUCGGAAAGAAAGAUGCGAAAUCCCAGUGCUCAAUCUUGGAUCUGCAUUUUUAACUGCCGAGCUAGAGUAUGUCAGAGGGGGGUAUAAUUCCACGUGUAGCAGUGAAAUGCGUAGAUAUGUGGAGGAAUACCGAUGGCGAAGGCAGCCCCCUGGGAUAAUACUGACGCUCAGACACGAAAGCGUGGGGAGCAAACAGG
rnacentral:rRNA from 1 species